rnacentral:rRNA from 1 species
UACAGAGGGGGCGAGCGUUAUUCGGAAUUAUUGGGCGUAAAGGGCGCGUAGGCGGCCUUUCAAGUGACGGGUGAAAUCCCUCGGCUUAACCGAGGAACUGCCUGUCAGACUGGAAGGCUUGAGACCGGGAGAGGUGAGUGGAAUUCCCAGUGUAGCGGUGAAAUGCGUAGAUAUCAGGAGGAACACCCGUGGCGAAGGCGGCUCUCUGGGACGGUACUGACGCUGAGACGCGAAAGCGUGGGGAGCGAACAGG